UCUCCCUCACGGCUUGCCCCAAGCACACGCAGGGCCCGCAGGCCACCGAAGAAGUCCUCAAGGGGACACUGGACAGCUGCCUCGAAGAAAGGAAAACUUCGUUGGAAGAGAGGGACAGUUGGAGAGCAGAGGUUUGUGCGUUAUCUUAGCAAGCCGAGCUCAAUGAAACAGGCUGGAAAGCUCUGAGGAUUCUGUGAGGACUCCUACAUGGAGGUCAGGGAUGCGGAAGGCUCCGUAUUGCUGUUCCAUAUGCCUGUUUGCCCUUCCUAUUAGAAGGCUGGAGAUAUAAUUAGGAGACAAGCACCACAGAUGCUGCAGUUUACAAUAACCAGAAGAAACCACCGAAACGGGCAAACACAAACCCAAGUCAUCAGAAGAAGCGCUUCUGUUAUGUCAAACCAAAUGGGACACCCAAAGGGAGUGACGAUGGUGCCUCAGCAGAGAAGGUUCCAUUGCCCAGAAGAGACAUGGCCAACGCGUGCUUCGCUCUGCUGUGCAGCCUGAGCCCUGUGAUUUCAUUUCUCUCCAAAUGCUCAUCAUUUUCCUUCCUUUUUUUUUUUUUUUUGUACAGUUGGCUGUUUAUGCUUUUUACACCCACUGCACUGUGAGCCCCUGGAGAACAAAACUUGGGCAUCAUUCAUCCUUAUAUCCCCAGAACCAGAAAAAGCCUGCUCCUCCUUAAGGCUGCUACAUGGCCCAGCUCCAGGGGUCCCACGGCCAUGGGUGUCGGUGUGCAGCACAGGGUUUCACCACCGAGCAGGUGAUCAAUGAGGGGUGACAAAGGCAUGGUCCUCUCCAGCCAGCCAGCUUCCAAGAAGUUCUUUGUCACAACUGACAUCUCCCUCCUCUGGGUUCUCAGGGUGCUCUACUUGAUGCCUCCCUUUCCCCAUCCCUGCUCUUCACCAUGCGCUCUUCACAGUCCCAGGGACCAGCUGAUACUCAUGCCUAGAGCUGUUUAUGCCCAUGCUGGCUUUCCCUUAAGGUUCCUUGUAGUGGCCUGGUCAAGUGAUGCGGGUACGUAUUUUGAACAAAAUAAUGUGAUUCUUUUCUAAAGAAGAUUUCCGUAUGUCAUGGCUUAUACAUCUUUUACAUGUAAUCAAUGCUCAGUGAUGUCUUGUCAUCCCUGUUGAUUCCUUUAUCCCCUCCCUGAAACUGCGGGAGCAGCACGGUGCUGGGCUCCUCGGUCCGGGCUGUGAAUGGUUUCCUGAUGGUGAUGGGGCCUCUCUGCAUGCUGCCACAGGAAAUGGGGCAGAGUUCCCACAUCGUGGAGGAUACAUCUCUUCAUGGGAAGAGAAAAACUGUAGUUCUGCAUUCCAGCUCCUGGGCUGUUCACACCAGCUAUUUUGGGGAAGGGGGAAGCCAGUCUCACAACACUUUCCCCAGAGAAAAGAUGCCAAUGUCAAUGUCAGCCAUUAGGAAACGUCAUUAAAGCAGAUGAGAAACGGGCUGUGGACAUUUUUAUGAGCCCAGAAUACUCUGGUUGGAGAUUUUAUGGAGACCACAGGAAACCAGAGAGACAAUGACAUUCAUACCCUUUUUUAGAGUCUGGUAAGGAGCAAUUUUUGUGUAUGUGUGCUCAACAGGGUAUGUUUUUGAGAGGGAAAGCUACUGUUGGAGGCCAUGUCAAAGCAAGCCUUAUUCAGAGAACUUGUGGAUCCGUUAGCUAUAGAAUGCUCCAGGCCAAGUAGCUGUGGGCUCAAAGCCCAAAUCCUUCCAGAAUUGCAAAGAAAACCCUUCCUUUUGAUUCCAGGAUACUCUGGAACGCUGUUCUGCAUAAGUCUCUAUGGUUGCAACAGUCUACCUGUCAUUCUCUUCUAUAUAUUCAUUUUCUUCUUUUUUCACAUGACACAAUGGGGCUCAGAAAGGUUGAGGAACUUAGACAAACACAGAAAUGGCCAGCAGUGGAAUCACAACUUGACGGUGCAUUUUCUCCAUUACCAUGUUGCCUCUUCACCCAGGCCCAGAGGUGCAGAUUUAAGGCAGGGAUAGGAAAAAGGCUGUGCCUGGAAAAUUGUCCCCAGUGAAGUUCCACCCCCCCAACCCCCAACCACCCUGGGUCUUUAUUUAGAUCUAGUAGCUCAGCAGAGGUAUUUUUCUCUGUAAAUCAGCCUUUAAGAUAUUGAGCCACACAAUGAAAUAGGAGGGAGGUGUGCAAAUUCCUGGCAGUUUGCUUUCUGCCUUUCCAGUAUUGCAAUUGUUUGUUUUCCUGGAGUCCUACAAGAGGGAAGGGGCAGAUUAUCCAGAAUAUUCCUGAAAUGCAGAGCUUUCCUAUUCAUACUGACAUCUUGUGGCAGUCGUGUAUUACUGCAGCAUGCAUUGCCUCGUGAGCCGAACAUUCAAUUUUACCAAUAUUUUUUCUUCCUCUUCCAUACAGUAAUCGGACCAGAAGUUACUAAGCACCUAGCAGGUGCCAGGCACUGUGCUAAGCACUUGGGGACAUUCAGACAUACUUACAGAAGAACGGUGGCCGAGACCGUAUCCGAAGCUAUUAUAGCAACACACCCCUGAUAAAUAAUAAGAUCUAGAAAUCAGUGAGCAUCUGCCAUGCGGGUUACCAGGCGCUCAGUAAUAACUGUACUAUCUGCUCUGCAUUUAUUAACCCAGUUAAUCUUCAUGAGGACCCUAUCUGGUGAGCAUCCUCACUCCCAUUUCAGAUUUGAGGAAACUGAAUCCAUGAGAAGUCAUUUAAAUGAUCCAAGUUUAAAAGCCUUGUAAGUAGGGAAGUUAGUUUUCAAACUCUGAUUUUCCGUAUCCCAAAGCCGGAGCUACACCAUUCUGUGAACAAAUAGCCGGGAGAGAGAGUGAUUCCAAUGGUGAGGUGGCAUUUGAGAAGGCAUUAAAGGAUGGCCAAGUUUAUUCUAUGCGAUUUAGGCCACGGAGAUAAUGGGUUAUCAGACCUUCCACAGGCCUAGUGGUUAAAGUCUGUUCAAUUUAAUUCAAUUCUCCAGUAACAACAACAAAAUAACAAAAAGCCCAGCUAUUAACAUCACUGUGUAUAUGCUUCAGCUAGUUUUCUUGUGCAAACUUAUAAAUAUGUGAAUAUGUAAACAACAACAACAUAAGAAUCAUACUGUAUGUGCUGCUUGGUAAUCUGCUUAUUUGAGCAAAUUUAUUAGAUUUCUACUGCUGUAUGCCAAAUUACCAGAAACUUAAUGACUUAAAACAACACUCAUUUAUCUCAGGGUUCUAGAGGUCAGAAGUCUGGGCAGGCUCAAAUGGGUUCUCUACAGACAGUACCCCAAGGGCACAGUCAAGGUAUCUUGGGGCUCUAAGGCAGAAUCCACUUCCAAGUUCAUUCAGCAGCAGUUAGUUCUUUGUAAUCAUAGGACUGAGGAUUGUAUGGUUCUGCUGGGUGCCGGCCAGAGAUCCCUUCUUCCUGCCUAGAAGCUGCUGUCAGGGCCUUGUCAGUGAGUUCUCCAUCUCAGCAAUGGAGAACCUCCUUCUCCGGGAGUCUCAGAAGCCUUUGAAUUUCCCUAACUUCCUCUGCUGCUACUAUCUGGAGAAAUCCCUUGAUAUUUAAAGGCCUCUUUUCAUCACGUGAGCCCCACUUGGAGGAUCUCCCCUAGUUUAAGAUUGACUGAUUAGUAACUUUAAUUACAUGGCAAACUUCCUUUGGCCAUUAAAUGGAAUAUAUCAUGGAAGUGCCACCCGGGGCCAUCUUGGAAUUCUGCCUACUGCAUUUAACAAGCAUUCUUUCUACACACAUUCAUUGAGGGUCUGCUACAUGCUAGAUUCUAAGCUUCAGAGCUACGACAGUGAACAAAUCAGAUAAAGGCUCAUGAAACACACCAGCAUUCUGAAAAGAGAAAAAGUUUCUAUAUCAUGGGAUAUGACUUUGCUUUUUUGUUUUUUUUUUUCCCACUGAUGGGACCGUGUAAUCCCAUUGUAUAAAUAAACCAUAAUUUAAGUAAAUAAUUCCAAAAUUGGACAAUUUAGGUUAUUUUCCAGGUUGCAUUUAUAAACAACACUGCAAUGGACAUUCUUUUGCACUGUUAUCAGUGACUGGUAAUAGAAUUUAUGGGUAAAAUGUAUGAUUUUGAUACAUAAUAUCAAAUUGUUUCUUGGAAAACCCAUACCAGCCAACAUUCCUGCCAAUUUUUUUCAUCUUUGUAAAUCUUUCUAGUGAGAUUGAACAUUUUAUCUUAUAUACAUAUAUGUAUCAUAUUUAUAACUUUUUAGAUUGUUCCUGGUCAAUCCUUUGUGAAUUUUUCCACUAGGAUUUUUUUUCCUUUUUAUCAUUUUAUUAGACAUUUAAAUAUUUAAUGUAUUAACUUCACUGUCUUACACAGUGCAGAUUUUAUCUUAGCUCAUUGUCUUGUCAUUUCAUUUAUGACAUCUUUUGAUAGAAGAGAUUUUUUUCAAUCUAAUUUAUUCAUGUCUUCCUUUAUGGCUGUGCUUUUGGAAUAAUGGUAAAGCCUUUCUCACCCCCUUAUGUAAGCAUGCACGUAUAUUUUCUUUGAAUUAAUUUUUCUUAUGGAAAUUUUUAGCUUGGCCCUAAAUUAAGGAUUUUAGGUUAUUUUUUCAAAAGUGUAACCAGUUGCUCUGCCAUUGUCCCAUGAAUACACCAAACAUUUCAACAUGUCUAUAAUGUGUACAAAUUCUUUGUUCUCUUCUGAACUUUCCAUACAGUUUGGCUGCUCUGGCUUUCCUGGAGGACCCCCACCCUGGCUCGAUUGUUAGAGCUUUAUGAUAUUUUGAGCUCAAUAAGCUAAGCCCUCCUUCGUUACUUUUAUUUAAACUAAAAGGCUUUAGAAACACAAUGAAUUAACUUCCUAUGUCCCUGUGUUCUUCUCUCAGCCCACAUCCACGCCCCAGUUAAAGAUGCCCUGGGAGGGACGCCUGGGUGGCUCAGUCAGUUCAGCGUCUGCCUUUGGCUUAGGUCAUGAUCCUGGGGUCCUGGGAUCGAG